UAACUGGGGCUAAGUCGUAACAAGGUAGCCGUACCGGAAGGUGCGGCUGGAACACCUCCUUU
rfam:Porphyromonas sp. COT-108_OH1349 contig_6, whole genome shotgun sequence.